ACCACUUGGGCAGAUUUCCCACAUUCCAGCAUAAUUUCAUACAGAAUUUACACGAUCCUGUAUUACCAAGCACGACACAGUGCCCGUAUUUAAAGCUCACAUGUCAGUAAUUUUUAAAUUACUAAAUCUCUUUUUCUUGAUACAAAACCGUUUAAUUUAGCGACAUUUCUAAAGCUUUGUGUCAAAGAAUGAAAUUCACCUGGGUAUUUCUUGUUGUAUUGUUUGUUGCGUUUGCCGGCGUAAUGUCCGGUGUGGAUGCUCAGCGGGGCCGUGGCGGCAGAGGCGGCGGCGGGGGCCGUGGUGGUCGGGGUGGUCGGGGUGGUCGUGGAGGUCGCGGCGGUGGAAAACGCGACAUCGAAAGCCAGUUACCAGAUGCAUUCCGAGACCAAUUCCUAAGCUUGAACUGAAUGGCGCACUUGCCCUUCGAUUAUGUAAUCUGCUCAGGCGCAAAUAAAUAUUCAUAAAUUAGCUAUUUCGGCAGGUGCUGAAUUGUGCUACCAUGUUUCCUUUUAUUAUUCGCCAAAUCGGAUUUUUUUUAUUUGCAUGCUAGUUGCACGGUAUGCCGGCACGUUCCGAUCCAGUUUAGUAUAUUACUAUACAGCAUGUAGUAUUUAAUAAAGUGAAAAUUACUUAGUACUGCUUACGCAGCUAAGGUCAAGAUUGUAAAUAAAUCUUUCAAUUAUCG